rnacentral:rRNA from 1 species
AUUGAACGCUGGCGGCAGGCCUAACACAUGCAAGUCGAACGGUAGCACAGAGAGCUUGCUCUCGGGUGACGAGUGGCGGACGGGUGAGUAACGUCUGGGAAACUGCCCGAUGGAGGGGGAUAACUACUGGAAACGGUAGCUAAUACCGCAUAACGUCGCAAGACCAAAGUGGGGGACCUUCGGGCCUCACACCAUCGGAUGUGCCCAGAUGGGAUUAGCUAGUAGGUGGGGUAACGGCUCACCUAGGCGACGAUCCCUAGCUGGUCUGAGAGGAUGACCAGGCACACUGGAACUGAGACACGGUCCAGACUCCUACGGGAGGCAGCAGUGGGGAAUAUUGCACAAUGGGCGCAAGCCUGAUGCAGCCAUGCCGCGUGUAUGAAGAAGGCCUUCGGGUUGUAAAGUACUUUCAGCGGGGAGGAAGGCGGUGAAGUUAAUAACUUCACCGAUUGACGUUACCCGCAGAAGAAGCACCGGCUAACUCCGUGCCAGCCGCCGCGGUAACAC